rnacentral:rRNA from 1 species
GAUGAACGCUGGCGGCGUGCCUAAUACAUGCAAGUCGAGCGAACGGACGAGAAGCUUGCGUCUCUGAUGUUAGCGGCGGACGGGUGAGUAACACGUGGAUAACCUACCUAUAAGACUGGGAUAACUUCGGGAAACCGGAGCUAAUACCGGAUAAUAUUUUGAACCGCAGGGUUCAAAAGUGAAAGACGGUCUUGCUGUCACUUAUAGAUGGAUCCGCGCUGCAUUAGCUAGUUGGUAAGGUAACGGCUUACCAAGGCAACGAUGCAUAGCCGACCUGAGAGGGUGAUCGCCCACACUGGAACGUAGACACGGUCCAGACUCCUGCGGGAGGCAGCAGUAGGGAAUCUUCCGCAAUGGGCGAAAGCCUGACGGAGCAACGCCGCGUGAGUGAUGAAGGUCUUCGGAUCGUAAAACUCUGUUAUUAGGGAAGAACAUAUGUGUAAGUAACUGUGCACAUCUUGACGGUACCUGAUCAGAAAGCCACGGCUAACUACGUG